GACGAACGCUGGCGGCGUGCUUAACACAUGCAAGUCGAACGGAAAGGCCUGCUUUCCCUUGUGGAUUGCGGGUGCUCGAGUGGCGAACGGGUGAGUAACACGUGAGUGAUCUGCCCCCAACUUGGGUAUAAGCCUGGGAAACUGGGUCUAAUUCCCGAUAGGACUGCAGGGUGGUGCCUGUGGUGGAAAACGAUUUUCUAGUGGUUGGGGAUUAGCGCGCGGCCUAUCAGCUUGUUGGUGGGGUAAUGGCCUACCAAGGCGGCGACGGGUAGCCGGCCUGAGAGGGGGGACCGCAACGUUGGGACUGAGAUACGGCCCAGACUACUACGGGAGGAAGCAGUGGGGAAGAUUGAACAAUGGGCGGAAGCCUGAUGCAGCGACGCCGAGUGGGGGAUGACGGCCUUCGGGUUGUAAACUCCUUUCGACAGCGAGGAAGCCACCUGGUUGGAAGGGUGGUGACGGUAGUGGUAGAAGAAGCACCGGCUAACUACGUG
rnacentral:rRNA from 1 species